GAUGCUGCGCGCGAUCGGCUUAGAAGAUCACGAGAGCUUUGGGGCGGUGAGCGGUGAGGCUGCGCUGCGCACGCGGUGGACACGGAAGGUGAGAAAUGGAGGCUUCGGUUCGGGACACGGAAAACGUGUCCAAGUUGCGGACAUUCAGGUCGAAGGCUGCAGAUCCUUCUACCGGGCUGCUCGAUCGAGGAUGAUGACGCAGGGACGCAGUGUCGAUACGACGCCGCAUCGGAG
rnacentral:lncRNA from 1 species